rnacentral:rRNA from 1 species
CCUACGGGUGGCAGCAGUGAGGAAUAUUGGUCAAUGGACGAAAGUCUGAACCAGCCAUGCCGCGUGCAGGAUGACGGCUCUAUGAGUUGUAAACUUCUUUUGUAGGAGGGUAAACACCCCGACGCGUAGGGGCUUGAGAGUAUAAUACGAAUAAGGAUCGGCUAACUCCGUGCCAGCAGCCGCGGUAAUACGGAGGAUCCAAGCGUUAUCCGGAUUUAUUGGGUUUAAAGGGUGCGUAGGCGGUUUGAUAAGUUAGCGGUGAAAUACCGGUGCUCAACACCGGAACUGCCUUUAAAACUGUUGAACUAGAGAGUAGUUGCGGUAGGCGGAAUGUGUGGUGUAGCGGUGAAAUGCUUAGAGAUCAUACAGAACACCGAUUGCGAAGGCAGCUUACCAAACUCUAUCUGACGUUGAGGCACGAAAGCGUGGGUAGCGAACAGGAUUAGAUACCCGUGUAGUC